ensembl:lncRNA
UCUGUAUAUUUAUUGUACAUUUGUAACAUAUUGUAGACACUGUAUAUUCUGUACUUACUGCUUAUUGCACUUCUUGUUAGAUGCUAACUGCAUUUCAUUGCCUUGUACCUUACAUGUGCAAUGACAAUAAAGUUUAAUCUAAUCUAAAGUUGAAUCUAAUCUAAAACAUUAAAACAUGCCCUAUUUCAGUAGUAUUCUCACAAGGUUUCAACAUUAUAUAUGUAAACAUUACUUGCUGAUUUUGUCUCUGUAAAUUUACAUCCAGAUCCACACGGAUACCAGAAAGUGGCGUGACAUUUCUAUAUCAAUUUAAAAAAGAUUAGUUAUAUUCUGUUGUGCUCAACAUUGUGCCACAAACCUCAUAAAUAGAGAUAAACAUCUAUUGAACCCGGAACAUCCCUUUAAAUACGAUAAACAAUUAACUUUUUAUCUGAAGCACUAUAAAUCAAGCACAAAGGACAGUAAAUCAGGACACUAUAAAAAGAGCAUGAGGGUCUGUGAGGAUGACAGAGCAAGAGCUGAACAUCAGUGAAGAAUGAAGGGUUUGUUAUGUACACUGCUGCUGCUGGAAACCUUUGUGUUUGUGGUACAGCAGCAGGUAGAUGGAGGACUCUCUGAGAAUGAGAUCAGUCAACAGCUCAGCACUGAGGACAGAAGACAGAAUCCAGCUCAGACAGACACUCGGAGAGAUGAAUCUGACAGCCAACAAUACUGCCAUCUGAGCUUCCCUGACAUCCACGCAGCACUGAGAGAACUGACCGCCACCGUCACAGAGCAGAAAGCCAACAUCAGAGCCUUAGAGACACGACUGAAGGAGCAACAGAUGUUUAUCCUGGAAGAGCUGAACAAGAAAAAUGAUGCCUUAGAGACACGACUGAGGGACUCAGAGAAAACUGCAGAACAACAGACGGUCAUCCUGGAAGACCUGAACAAGAAAACUGAUGGUAUCUUACCAGAACAUUCACUCUUUUAUCAGCUGUCCAUCUGGAAAACACUAAUGCAAUACACUGCAUAG